GACGAACGCUGGCGGCGUGCUUAACACAUGCAAGCCGAACGAUGAAGCAGAGAAACGCGCACUUCGGUUCAAAUUUCACUUCGGAUUAGUGGCAGACGGGUGAGUAACGCGUGAGCAACCUACCUCUUACAAAGGGAUAGCCUCGGGAAACCGUGAUUAAUACCAUAUGACACAUUCAUAAGGCAUCUUAAGAAUGUUAAAGCUACGGCGGUAAGAGAUGGGCUCGCGUCCCAUUAGCUAGUUGGUGAGGUAACGGCCCACCAAGGCGACGAUGGGUAACCGGCCUGAGAGGGUGAACGGUCACAUUGGAACUGAGACACGGUCCAAACUCCUACGGGAGGCAGCAGUGGGGAAUAUUGCACAAUGGAGGGAACUCUGAUGCAGCGACGCCGCGUGAGCGAUGAAGGAAUUCGUUUCGUAAAGCUCUGUUCUAUGGGAAGAAAAGGACUGUACCAUAGGAGAAAGCCCCGGCUAAAUACGUG
rnacentral:rRNA from 1 species